rnacentral:rRNA from 1 species
AGUCGAGGGGCAGCGGAGAGGUAGCAAUACCUUUGCCGGCGACCGGCGCACGGGUGAGUAACACGUAUGCAAUCCACCUGUAACAGGGGGAUAACCCGGAGAAAUCCGGACUAAUACCCCAUAAUAUGGGCUCUCCGCAUGGAGGGUCCAUUAAAGAGAGCAAUUUUGGUUACAGACGAGCAUGCGCUCCAUUAGCCAGUUGGCGGGGUAACGGCCCACCAAAGCGACGAUGGAUAGGGGUUCUGAGAGGAAGGUCCCCCACAUUGGAACUGAGACACGGUCCAAACUCCUACGGGAGGCAGCAGUGAGGAAUAUUGGUCAAUGGUCGGCAGACUGAACCAGCCAAGUCGCGUGAGGGAAGACGGCCCUACGGGUUGUAAACCUCUUUUGUCGGAGAGUAAAGUACGCUACGUGUAGCGUAUUGCAAGUAUCCGAAGAAAAAGCAUCGGCUAACUCCGUGCCAGCAGCCGCGGUAAUACGGAGGAUGCGAGCGUUAUCCGGAUUUAUUGGGUUUAAAGGGUGCGUAGGCGGCACGCCAAGUCAGCGGUGAAAUUUUCGGGCUCAACCCGGACUGUGCCGUUGAAACUGGCGAGCUAGAGUGCACAAGAGGCAGGCGGAAUGCGUGGUGUAGCGGUGAAAUGCAUAGAUAUCACGCAGAACCCCGAUUGCGAAGGCAGCCUGCUAGGGUGCGACAGACGCUGAGGCACGAAAGCGUGGGUAUCGAACAGGAUUAGAUACCCUGGUAGUCCACGCAGUAAACGAUGAAUACUAACUGUUUGCGAUACGAUGUAAGCGGUACAGCGAAAGCGUUAAGUAUUCC